GCUGGGCAAGGUGAUGCAUACCUGUAAUCCCAGCAACUCGGGAGACUGAGGCAGGAUGAUUGUGAGUUCAAAGCCAACCUUAGCAACUCAGCAAGACCCUGUUUCUA
rnacentral:sRNA from 1 species